AACGCUAGCUACAGGCUUAACACAUGCAAGUCGAGGGGCAGCAUGGUCUUAGCUUGCUAAGGCCGAUGGCGACCGGCGCACGGGUGAGUAACACGUAUCCAACCUACCGUCUACUCUUGGACAGCCUUCUGAAAGGAAGAUUAAUACAAGAUGGCAUCAUGAGUCCGCAUGUUCACAUGAUUAAAGGUAUUCCGGUAGACGAUGGGGAUGCGUUCCAUUAGAUAGUAGGCGGGGUAACGGCCCACCUAGUCUUCGAUGGAUAGGGGUUCUGAGAGGAAGGUCCCCCACAUUGGAACUGAGACACGGUCCAAACUCCUACGGGAGGCAGCAGUGAGGAAUAUUGGUCAAUGGGCGAGAGCCUGAACCAGCCAAGUAGCGUGAAGGAUGACUGCCCUAUGGGUUGUAAACUUCUUUUAUAAAGGAAUAAAGUCGGGUAUGGAUACCCGUUUGCAUGUACUUUAUGAAUAAGGAUCGGCUAACUCCGUGCCAGCAGCCGCGGUAAUACGGAGGAUCCGAGCGUUAUCCGGAUUUAUUGGGUUUAAAGGGAGCGUAGAUGGAUGUUUAAGUCAGUUGUGAAAGUUUGCGGCUCAACCGUAAAAUUGCAGUUGAUACUGGAUAUCUUGAGUGCAGUUGAGGCAGGCGGAAUUCGUGGUGUAGCGGUGAAAUGCUUAGAUAUCACGAAGAACUCCGAUUGCGAAGGCAGCCUGCUAAGCUGCAACUGACGUUGAGGCUCGAAAGUGUGGGUAUCAAACAGGAUUAGAUACCCUGGUAGUCCACACGGUAAACGAUGAAUACUCGCUGUUUGCGAUAUACAGCAAGCGGCCAAGCGAAAGCGUUAAGUAUUCCACCUGGGGAGUACGCCGGCAACGGUGAAACUCAAAGGAAUUGACGGGGGCCCGCACAAGCGGAGGAACAUGUGGUUUAAUUCGAUGAUACGCGAGGAACCUUACCCGGGCUUAAAUUGCAGAUGAAUUACGGUGAAAGCCGUAAGCCGCAAGGCAUCUGUGAAGGUGCUGCAUGGUUGUCGUCAGCUCGUGCCGUGAGGUGUCGGCUUAAGUGCCAUAACGAGCGCAACCCUUGUUGUCAGUUACUAACAGGUUCUGCUGAGGACUCUGACAAGACUGCCAUCGUAAGAUGUGAGGAAGGUGGGGAUGACGUCAAAUCAGCACGGCCCUUACGUCCGGGGCUACACACGUGUUACAAUGGGGGGGUACAGAGGGCCGCUACCACGCGAGUGGAUGCCAAUCCCCAAAACCUCUCUCAGUUCGGACUGGAGUCUGCAACCCGACUCCACGAAGCUGGAUUCGCUAGUAAUCGCGCAUCAGCCACGGCGCGGUGAAUACGUUCCCGGGCCUUGUACACACCGCCCGUCAAGCAAUGGGAGCCGGGGGUACCUGAAGUGCGUAACCGCGAGGAGCGCCCUAGGGUAAAACUGGUGACUGGG
rnacentral:rRNA from 1 species